ensembl:lncRNA
CUUCGCGGUUCCCACCAGAACCGGCUCAGUUUGCUCUCGACAGCAAAUAUUUAGCAAGAUGCUGCUUGGAGAGGGAUCAGCUGCUCCUGGUGAUUGCAGGCUGCUGCUGCAGACAUCUGUCCUCGCGCAAAUGAACCCUACCAAGGCUGUCUGAUGACCCAGAGAGAAAUUAGUCAAUUAAUACUCAGCAUCAUCACAAGGUAUGGGCACGAGCACCUUCUGCAGCACAAGCUGUAGCCAUGGAAAAGCAGCUGCCGGGUUUUACAAGCUGAAAUGGGAGCUGGUCUGCAACAAAGGAACUGUGUGUGGGUCCAGCACGCUGGCACAGGCGAGCAGCACCGUGCUGGGGCAGAUCCACAUUCGUGCUUUGCAUUUCUGCUGUGCAAAAUGGAGGUUUCUUUGGAUAUCAAGCAACAGUAGAGAAGUGGUCAGCACAUAAAAGUAUGGGAGAAGCCCCACCGUGGCAUGGGGGAUAACUUUGCAGAUACAUCCAUAAAGCAAAACCCACUUUCCUGCCUUGGAGCUCCUGGAAAAUAACUGUGGGAUGAUUUUCUUCAGCCUUCCCGUGUAAACCCAAUGACAGAAAGCCCCGUUUUGUGCAUUUCACCCUGGUCAAGCCUGUGAUGCAAUGUGAACUUUCACAAUUUCUGCCUCGAAGGAUGGUCUAAAUCUCAAGGCAACCAAGGAGUGAGGGAAAGCAUCACUGCGGUUCCAGAUCUGUGGCUCAGACCUCCAAAAUCCC